rnacentral:rRNA from 1 species
GGUGAACGCUGGCGGCGUGCCUAAUACAUGCAAGUCGAGCGAACGGACGAGAAGCUUGCUUCUCUGAUGUUAGCGGCGGACGGGUGAGUAACACGUGGAUAACCUACCUAUAAGACUGGGAUAACUUCGGGAAACCGGAGCUAAUACCGGAUAAUAUUUUGAACCGCAUGGUUCAAAAGUGAAAGACGGUCUUGCUGUCACUUAUAGAUGGAUCCGCGCUGCAUUAGCUAGUUGGUAAGGUAACGGCUUACCAAGGCAACGAUGCAUAGCCGACCUGAGAGGGUGAUCGGCCACACUGGAACUGAGACACGGUCCAGACUCCUACGGGAGGCAGCAGUAGGGAAUCUUCCGCAAUGGGCGAAAGCCUGACGGAGCAACGCCGCGUGAGUGAUGAAGGUCUUCGGAUCGUAAAACUCUGUUAUUAGGGAAGAACAUAUGUGUAAGUAACUGUGCACAUCUUGACGGUACCUAAUCAGAAAGCCACGGCUAACUACGUGCCAGCAGCCGCGGUAAUACGUAGGUGGCAAGCGUUAUCCGGAAUUAUUGGGCGUAAAGCGCGCGUAGGCGGUUUUUUAAGUCUGAUGUGAAAGCCCACGGCUCAACCGUGGAGGGUCAUUGGAAACUGGAAAACUUGAGUGCAGAAGAGGAAAGUGGAAUUCCAUGUGUAGCGGUGAAAUGCGCAGAGAUAUGGAGGAACACCAGUGGCGAGGGCGACUUUCUGGUCUGUAACUGACGCUGAUGUGCGAAAGCGUGGGGAUCAAACAGGAUUAGAUACCCUGGUAGUCCACGCCGUAAUCGAUGAGUGCUAAGUGUUAGGGGGUUUCCGCCCCUUAGUGCUGCAGCUAACGCAUUAAGCACUCCGCCUGGGGAGUACGACCGCAAGGUUGAAACUCAAAGGAAUUGACGGGGACCCGCACAAGCGGUGGAGCAUGUGGUUUAAUUCGAAGCAACGCGAAGAACCUUACCAAAUCUUGACAUCCUUUGACAACUCUAGAGAUAGAGCCUUCCCCUUCGGGGGACAAAGUGACAGGUGGUGCAUGGUUGUCGUCAGCUCGUGUCGUGAGAUGUUGGGUUAAGUCCCGCAACGAGCGCAACCCUUAAGCUUAGUUGCCAUCAUUAAGUUGGGCACUCUAAGUUGACUGCCGGUGACAAACCGGAGGAAGGUGGGGAUGACGUCAAAUCAUCAUGCCCCUUAUGAUUUGGGCUACACACGUGCUACAAUGGACAAUACAAAGGGCAGCGAAACCGCGAGGUCAAGCAAAUCCCAUAAAGUUGUUCUCAGUUCGGAUUGUAGUCUGCAACUCGACUACAUGAAGCUGGAAUCGCUAGUAAUCGUAGAUCAGCAUGCUACGGUGAAUACGUUCCCGGGUCU